GCACUCAAUCAGAGCGAUCCUAGGCUCGCACGGCGGCUGUCCACUGUUUCCCUCCGCCCACCGCACCGACGCCCGGGCGCCCACACCACCCUUUCCCCGACCACCCUCUGCGCAGCGGGGGCCCAAGCGGCGGGACACAGGCUCUCGGACCCGGAGCCGGUUCCCGCUUCUCUCGCUAGAGGGCAGACAGGGCCCGCUCAAAGCCAUCAGACCGAAGGGCACGCGCAGCCGGUAGAGAUCCCGCAAUCGGAGCCGCACUCCAGGGCUGGGCUCCGCGACCAACGCGGGGGCCGAGAGCAGAGCCCGGGAGCGCGACGCACGGCAGACCCGGAGGACCCGGGAGGAACGGCCAGCAAUCUCGGGGUGCGCACAGCGCACGAGCACCAGGUGGAGGCGGAGGCGGCGCCGGCACGGCAGCUCGGGGACCGGGUUGGGCUCCAAGAGAGCUGCGCGAGGACACAUGGGACGCGGCUAGGUGCUCGCCUGGGAGCAGCGGAGCGGCUGGCACUCACCUGGGCUCCGGUCGCCUUCGGCGGGCUUCCCGCGGGAUCCCCGGUCCUUCUUCUUGCCCUUCCCCUUGCCUCUGCCUUCUUUGCGCUCAGACAUCUCGCUAAAGAUGAGCGCUCUACGCGGACCCCGCUGGGCGACGGUGACGCGCGACAAGUUUGGUCCAAGGGCUUGCAGAAAAGUUUGUCCCGGGAGGGAAGAGCCAGCGGCCGGGGUGCGCGGGGGCGUCGCCUGUCGCCUGCAGGGAGCUGCGUGGACUCGAUCACCUGGAGCGUCCGCUACGUCUGGGGGUGUCUCGGGGCUACUCUUGUGUCCCGGGUCCUGCUGCUGCCGGCUCUGGAGUGGCCUCGCUCCGGUGGCCUGUCUCGCUCCCUUACAGCCUGAAGAGGGAAAGGUGCUCAGUCCGGUCUAUGCUCGCAUCUCCCGGCAGCUGCCGCCGCUGCGCUGCGCUCCGCUCCUGCUGCCGGCGUGGCCCGGAGUUCCCACAAGUUUUGGGGAAGUCCUAGCCGGCUCUUUUUCAAUUGCCCGCAGGUUGGACGCAGGCACCUCCUUCGCACCCUCCCCUCGCCUCGCCCCCUCCCUCUUUCCCCACCACACCCCCACCCCGAGGCGCAGACACGCCACCGGGAGGAGCCUGAGCUGGGCGAUCACGGCUCAGCCCCUUUCUUCUGGCAGCCGGGCCAGCCUAGGGGCGGCGGAGCCCAGCGGCUGCCGGGAACUCCCGACAGGGGUCGCUGGAAGCUUCUCUGACAAAGUCGCAGCCGCCGCCGGACAGAACAGAGCAGUCUGGAGAGGCCAGGAAGGCAGGAAGGGACCCUGGUGCUCGCAGUCUCUGGCAGGCUGUGGGGCUGAUCCAAGCCUUGAAAAGAGGGGGGGGGGGGGGGGGGGNNNNNNNNNNNNNNNGCAACCGUAGCACCUGCCCCAUAAUGAAAGCUCUGGAGACCUGGAGCCCCGGGGAGGGGAAAGGAACAGUUGCUAUUUUCCAGAAGGGUUCAGAGUUCAUUUCUCUCUUGCUUUAGGGAAGUUUCCCUCUGGCACUAAGGGCGAAGGUGCAGUCUGGAGUGGAAGGGAGUUUGAGGUACCCAGGAAGGGUUCUGUGAACUUCAAGCAUGAACAGCUUGCACUUCGUACAUCUGCCACUUGAGCAUGUGUCUGCCUUCCCGUGCUAAAUAGCAUGACUGUUGGAUUUCCCAUCUCCAUUUAAAAAAAUACUCUAGCUUCUUCCCAAGCACGCGUAUCUCCUUACUACAGCUUUAUUUUCAAAAGAACUGAGGAGCCAUAGUUCACCAUAGACAGUAACAUGUCUAAGGUGUGUAUGGGUACAAGUCAGAUGCGCGCAGGGCGGCGGGGGAGGGGGGGAGUUGGGACCGUAGAACUAUAGUGCAGACCCUUAGUUCAGUAAUGCCAGCCCCCUCCCACACCCAUUAGACUUUCUGAGAAUUGCUAGUGAAUCCUAGUGUUCCUGUAUCCAGGUGGAGAACUCUAAGGAAUAGUCAGAGGCCAGAGUGAUCUGCACCAAGGAGUGAUUCACAAUGGUCUCCACGUAGAGACAGAUGCUGUCAUCAACACACAGUUGUGGCCAACUUAGCCUGCUCUUUUACUGAUGGUAUAGAGUUGUGGUGGAGAAACAGCUGGCACCAACGAUCAAUAUUCUACAGCUAUCCCACUUUCAGAGUGAUUUAGCUCCUUCCUUUUCACUUCCUGGAGUUAAUGUUAACAGACCCGUGGCUGUCCACAGCUUUCUCUGUGUUCUCUGUCUGCCACGAUUUAAAUAAAGGUGAAAUCCAGAGUGGAAAACAGGGCAAAGAUGUUCAUUUUAAAUCGUCUUAAGAAUCACUUCCAUCCUACUUUAAUUUUCGUUGGAUUAAGAAUCAAACUGUAAGAUAGGUGCAAUUGUUAAGAUAGCUCAACAGUACUGCAUCCUUCUUUACUCUUAAACCUUUAGUGUCCAGACACCUUGAUAGCUUUGCAGCAAAUACCACAUACUGUGGUAUUUGUGCCAAACAGCAGAACCCCAGGAAAGAUUAUGACUCUGAAAAGCACUGCAGCCGGGCUGGGCCGUGCAGAGUGAAGAGAAAGUGGCCCCAGUGCUGGCUGGAAUAACUCCACUUUCCCAGGAGGGGCCACUGCUCAGCCAGCGAGGAGCGAGCAGCAGCAAGCCGCUGAAAGCAGAAACCUUACAUUUCAGAGUGUAUUUCUCUGGAGGAUGUGAGGCAGUUAGAGAGCUCACGAUUACUAACCACAUGUUGUCAGACACCAGCAUUUUAGAAUCAAAGGGCUGAAAACAAGCUUGCAUCUUGGAACUUAAAUAAGUGUAAGAUCUUCCCAAAUACUUGGGUAAUCAAAACCCAAGGCUACAGGAACACCAUCGUCUACCUUUUGUUCCCGAGUCUAGAUGCGUUACUUCCCAGAACACCUUCUUCAUGGUGGGAGUAUCUCCAGGAGGAUAGAAGGAGUCUACACUUCCUGAAAUUUUCUACUUGAAUAAAACCACUGUGAUGGGUGACAGUGGUUACAAAAACCUCCAAACUAUUUUACCAAGAAAAAUGACUGAUGCUCCAGUAACUUCAGAAGAAAGCACCAGCAGUGUUCCCAUGGAAACUGUGGAGGUGGGGAAUGGAUGGAUAUGGUUUGGAUGUAAGCGGUAACUAGCAGUACAUGAUUUUUUUAAACUUGGUUAGAUGACGAUGGAAGAGGAGAAGUAGGGAGAUGAGUUUCGGUAGUAGGUGUUGACGGAAAUUUCAAGACACAUGACAGAGGGUCAUCUAAUGGCAAGGCUGCUUCCUAGAACUUUGCCCUGAUUCUGGAAUCCUAUUUUAUUGUCAAUUAAAGCUGAAUUAGCAGGAACUUUUCCACAAAGCCAUUGAUUUUUUAUGUUAUUUUGUGUUGAUUUCUUGAGUAUAUUUUACUACAUGAUUUACAACCAACUGAAAGAUUAACCAAAAAGUCAAUUUCUUCGAUAGUUAAAAUAUUUAUGAGAUUGGUCAAGACUUCAAAAUUGUGCUUAAAUUAUUCAUUUCUGUGGUCAGUAAGUGGCAAAUGUAAUGGUUUUGUGUUUUAAAAAAAUACUUUGGAACUGACUUAAGGACUAAAAAAAAAAAGUAUUCUUUUUAAAAACUAUUUAAGCAGGUGUGGAGAUGAUUCAUCUUGUAAUCUCCGAACUUCAGCAGAUGAGGCAGAAGUACCACCAGGGGCCUUAAGGCCAGCCUGAGCUUCAGAAGGAGAUCACAAGUAACACAGACCCAAAAUGUUACAAAUAUAACUAGUUAAAUAGAAUAUAUUAAAUGUUAGUGUUAGUCAAAACAUUUCAAAGUGAAAUAACUUAGUGAAUUUAAUAAACUUGUUAUGUUUUGUUCAGCUCCUUGAACAGGUAUCAUAUAUGGCUGGCCAGCUACCAACUUACACACCAAAGUGUCAACAUACAUCAACCGACAGAAGAAGAGGACGUUAUAAAAUCACCCGGAGAAAUGAAGGUGAGAAGGCGGCUUGCACAGAAUGACAGAAUGUCAAGGUGUUUUCUUUAAAUCGCCUUUGAGAGUUUCACCUGUGUGCUACGCUGACUGGCUCUGUCCAUUCCCUUGGUCUAAAUCUACAAGCACAGGCUUCGUGAGCAGGCUUAAUGACCUCUCCUUGCUCCAAGCCUGGGAUGCACAGCUUCUCUUUCCACCAGCUUAUUUCUCACUCCACACAACAGUGGUCUGCCUCCAUCCAAUCACUGAAUCAAGUGACUCUCCCUGGCCGCCUUGGAACCACCUUGGAGUUCAGCUGUAAGUCCUCUUUACAUUCUGCUUUUACCCACUGUCCUUAUGCACACAGCAGAUAAAAAUGGGCUUCUCUGUGCAUUCUUAUAGCUCAGACUCUGUGUGCAUUUAACAAAUAUUCAAGAGAGAAAUCACAUGCCUUGAUGGCUUUUAAACAUCAGCCCGCAAGAUUCUCUCCAAGGUUAACAUUUUUUUCCUUUGAAAUACACUUUCCCGUGCCUGGGAAAAGAGUCCUCCCUAUUAAAUUUAUAAUGAUGCU
rnacentral:lncRNA from 1 species